AAAGGGGCGGUCCUGUUCCUUUCCCGCAUGAAGAUAGCACAUUUCCCUCCAAAAAUUCAAAUGUCUAUAUUAAUUACUGAAGGAUUGGCACUCUGAUCUGAACUGCUCUUCUCUGAGGACAGGAACAUGGUGAACAGCAGGACUUGUCUUCAGCUUCAGGUGGAACAGCUCUGACCUGUAUGGUGAUCAGACCCGGAGAGGCGAGACACCUGGUCCAACAAGUCGGCUGUUGAAUCUGGUUCUCCGUCCUGAUAAACUUCAGUCGGCCAUCUUCAGCUCUUAAACAUUUUAUACAGAUUGGACUGAGCUGCAGAUAUGAAAAAACUGAACGUAAAACCCCCGUCAGGGCCUGAAGAAAUCCAGUGAAGUCUCUUACUCUCGAUGCCUCUGCUUUCAAAGUCCUUGCCGUGAGCCAUGUGGU